UACGGAGGGUGCGAGCGUUGUCCGGAAUCACUGGGCGUAAAGGGCGCGUAGGUGGCGCGGGCAGUCAACGGUGAAAGUUCGGGGCUCAACCCUGAAUCGGCCGUCGAUACUCCCGUGCCUGAGCACUGUAGAGGCAGAUGGAAUUCCGGGUGUAGCGGUGGAAUGCGUAGAGAUCCGGAAGAACACCGGUGGCGAAGGCGGUCUGCUGGGCAGUAGCUGACACUGAGGCGCGACAGCGUGGGGAGCAAACAGG
rnacentral:rRNA from 1 species